UAUCUGGACUAAUUGGUCCCUUCUAAGAAGGGAAGGUGAGGGGCUCAAAGGAAAGCUCUCAGAGUGUCAGGUAUCAGGGACUGGGAAGUGCUGUUUAAAGCAAGAGAAAACCCAGAAGAAGGGCUUCAAGGUGAAAAGAAAAGCGAUCUAGAGGGGCAAAGGGAGGCCUGACCUGUGACAAGAUACUGAAUAGUGAAUGGCAGACGGAUGAAGGGAAUUAGGACCACUGGGCUCGUGGAGCUCAGACAAAUUGGAGCCUCCAUCCUGGACGGAGCUCUGGAUAUUUGUCCUCUAAGGGAUAACACAUUAAGGAAGAAGGCUGAAAACUACUAGAGUUGACUAACUAUGGCAGAGAUGUGGUCAGAUGUCAGACCUGCAAUCCCUUUGGCUGCUAUGUGGAGAAUGGAAUGGAGCAGAGAGAAAUAUGAGAAUGGGGACCAUCCCACUAGUCCAGGAAAAGCUCCAACUUCCUCAUAACCUUGAUUGUGCCUCUCUGCUCUGGAACCAGAUUUUGGGAGAAAAAGAGAACUGUCUGGGAGGACUUCACAGAAUGCUAGAAUCUGUGAGCAGAGGACUUUUGAGAAAAGUUUCCUCAUUCUCUCUGGUGGAAAAGAGACAUCAUUCUCCUAAAAAUGCUUAA
rnacentral:lncRNA from 1 species